rnacentral:rRNA from 1 species
GUGUCAGCCGCCGCGGUAAUACGGAGGUUGCGAGCGUUGUUCGGAAUAACUGGGUGUAAAGGGAGCGCAGGCGGCAGGGCAAGUCUGGAGUGAAAGCCCGGGGCUCAACCCCGGAAGGGCUUUGGAUACUGCCCCGCUCGAGUACGGGAGAGGAGAGUGGAAUUCCAGGUGUAGCGGUGAAAUGCGUAGAUAUCUGGAGGAACACCGGUGGCGAAAGCGGCUCUCUGGCCCGAUACUGACGCUCAGGCUCGAAAGCGUGGGGAGCAAACGGGAUUAGAUACCCGCGUAGUCC